UUACAUUUUUUUUUCACACUAUUUGACUUUUUAAAUGUCAAUGCUGAUCUUUCAUUAGAAAUAUUUUGCAUCCUAUCAAACACGUGCUCUUAUGAGGUUUACUGAAAUUUUUUUGGUGCUAUAGCCCGCAGGUUUUUCCACUAUGGGAAAAACACUGAUUUGAAAUUAACAGUCAAUAGGCCCAAGACUCAAUUUAUCUUGUCAGUACAUCUGUACUGCAAAAGAAGCAGUUAAAUAUGAGAUAAUUUUGAGUUGCCGGGUCUCCUUACAAACUCCUAUAAUGCUAAUGUGUAGUGACAAAAUAAUUGCUAUAACCUGACUUUAAUCAAACUGUGCAAAAAUAUAAUUUAAGGGUUUUCACUAUGGUUCUCAGGUAUGUACACUGUCCACCAAAGGGGACAGUGAUUUUUUCUUAAUAUGAAGCUGUCUAACCUGGAAGUUAUUUUAUUGAGACUAUAUUGACCACCAGAAUGACAAAACCCAGACAUGAAUUCUCAAAUUAUAAAUGAUCAAGAAAUGCCUUUAAUUACAGGGGAAAAACUGAGAUCAAAAAAGUAAUUUACAAAAAAGGAGGCAGUGAAGUCAUUCAACACAGGGGAAUAAAGGUAAGUAGAUAUAGCUCAAGGAAUGUGCCACUCCCCCUUCUUUCUUACAUGUAUCUUUAAAAAUAUACCAUAUUCGCCAGAUUCAGCAGCAAACAUAAAAAUUGCUCAAGUUGGGUUUUACAAAGCCUCCUUGGUAAGCUGCAUGUGUUUUUUGUUUUUGGGUUUUUUGUCUUUUUUUUUUUUUAAGGGCCGCACCCGUGGCAUAUGGAGGUUCCCAGACUUAGGGGUCUAAUAGGAGCUACAGCUGCAGGCCUACACCACAGUCACAGCAACGCCAGAUCCCAGCUGCGUCUGCAACCUACACCACGUCUCUCGGCAACGCCAAAUCCUUAACCCACUGAGGGAGGCCAGGGAUCGAACCCAUGCAUACGUUUUCAAACUAUGGGAUAGAAAGUAAAAAAGGCCGUAAAAUAAGGCUCAAAUACGCCAAUCUGUACACAUGAAAGUAUUAGUUUACCAGAUAUCAGAAUAUGCAUUUAUUACUUUUUUCUCACAAUUUUGGUCUGGGGGAAAUACAUUUGGUCUCAUUCAUCUGUGCCUUCUAUAACACCAAGUACAGUCUCCAGCAUUUGGUGCUGUAAAAUACAUAUUUACAUUUUCAAAGUAAAUUCUUUUCCCAUGUACUGUUCAGCGCCUGGAUAUCUCUGCCCAGAAGGCACAAUCUGUGAGUUUGCUUUGGUUUCAGAACAGAAAGGAAGCAUGUGGAAAACAGGCUGCUGGGGCAGAAGUGUCAUUUUGGCUGCUAGGCACGUGAACCCUGGAAGCUAUCCAAAUCGGUGACCCUGGGGGGGAUGUGACAAGCUCAGGCCCUUCCCUGGCUGGCCCAGACGGUCCAAGGCGGUUAGGCAGUCUUCCGAAGUGGCAGGUGGCAGGAGCGUGAUUCGGAGUGGUCCAUUCAAUUUCUAACAGGUCCUCUGACAAUGGCUGGGUUGCUGGGCCAAGUGCGAAGGCAAGGGAACUUCCUCGCGCCGGUUGUGGGCCCAACAGCUGGAGGCUGGGCAACUCUAGGUGGGUCAACGCCAAGCACAACUCAGUACGUUGGGGAGGACAGGGGCUCGCAGCCCUGUUUCCAGCCCCUCCCUGCCAAAGGCCAGCUUCAGCGCGUCCACGAAGCCCUCGUAAUUCGCCAGGAUAGGGCUCUGUCUUAAUAUAGGGGACAACCCACUCCUCCGCCGGCCCACUGAGGCGACUGAUUAAAAACGCCACCUUGAGGGUAUCACUUAAGAAUCUGUCCUCGAAAAACCUCAUAUAAGAGGCCGCUUGGAUCUAAAACUCGGGAAGCCGCGUGGAGUCGCUUUUUAAAAUCUCAGGACGAGCAGGCGGGCGGACGCACCUGAGCCAGCAGGUUGGCUUUCUCGCAUAGCAGCCGCCGCACCUGGUCCAUGAGCUCAGUGUUCUCCCUGCGCAGGGCAUAGUUCUGCGGCAGGGGGUCCCGCAUCAGGAUGGCCAGCGCGUCCAUCGCCGCCCGCCCGCGCUGCCGCCACGCCGGAAGUGCGUUUAGCUCAGGGGCGGGUCCGGCGGCAGCAUGUCGGCAUUCCGCGGGCCUGGCCGGGCCUAGGCCCGAGCACUGGCUGGCAGGGUCGUCGAGACUCUUCGCCGGAGAAGCAGGAGUCAGGAAGCCCGAAACCGGCGAGCGGCAGGGAGUGGAGGAGAUCUGGGGCUAGGAAACGGGGCGGCGCCGCAGGCUAAAGCACCGUGUUCAGCGGAGGAAUCUGACUUCGUGGCGGCGCGCAGCGACUUCCGGUGGGCGCCUUCCGUGGUCCAGCGCGCAGGCGCUUAAAGGGGAAGUUCCCGGCAAGAGAGCUGCGCUCUCCUGGGAAGCUGCGGGUUCUCGUACUCUUUCCAAGUGUGAUAAGCUUGCUAAAGAAGACUUCAACCUUUGUGCGUGUGUGACUGCAACUAUCGAUUUAAGUGAUCACCAGCUGCUUGUUGCCCUCCUGAGUGGACAAAGUCUACCUACAGAACCACUUGCAAGCCCUGGGAUUCAGCUUUGUCCCGCUGUUUCCAAAUUUGAGGUGCUCAAAUAUUGACUCCGAGGACCUUCCAUGCCAGAACCACCCAAGGUGAAACUCUGGAUACCCUUAAGAGACAGCUCUCCUACCUCCUGGAAUGAGUGGGCUUUAUUUCGACUGGGGCCCCAUCCUAAGGUGAGAAACCUGGAAGUGAACCUGAAGAGGCGAAGCUGCAGAACGCCAGCAAACAGAUCGUGCAGAAUGCCAUCCUGCGCGCUGUGCAGCAGGUCUCCCAGGAGAGUCGGCGGAGGGAAGCCAGAGCCAGCGGCACCCAGGGCAGCCCCCAGCGGGGCGUAGGGGAGUUAACCAAGAAGCAUGAGAAGAAGUAACACCGUGGAUUCGGCCCUUGUCACACUGCUUGGUCUUCAGCCUUCCUCUUAGUAUAGGAUGUGUCGCCAAAAUGUUGCCAGUAAAGCAAACCAAAGUGUCAUAGGCACCUAGCAGUAGGAUGAACUUGCACGAGCCCCUCGUUGGAUGCACUGUUCUGACAAAAGUGCAUUAGACGAUUCUGUUUAAACACAGUGCCUCGGAAACAUAGUCGGGCCAAACACGACACUGUAAUUGCAAAAGUAGUUUUGCAGCACAAUUCCUUUUUAAAAUCUUUUUUUUUUUUUAAAUGAUUCUGUCUUGUUUAUUUAAUUUUGCCUUUUGUGCAUUUUUUCUGUGAAUUUAACCAGCAGUCCUUUUUUGCUGAAACAUUGAGUGCAGUACUGAGAUCUGUAUAAUAUUUUAUAAAGACAUGCUGGAAGGGUGAAGGAAUAUUGUUUGAGUGCCCCUCAAAUAUGGAAUUGAAGGUUUUAAUAAAGUGGGUUCAGGUCCAAGAUCAAAUUAAGCAAAAAGCAAAUCCUAAGACCAAGUCCCUCAGGAUCUUAACAAGGUGUGUAUUUAUAUUACUUUUUUAAAAAGGAGGAAUUUCGCUUUUCCUGUAUUCAGUCUGAAAUCUCUCAGUUGUUUGAUACUCGGUAUUUACUCUCUGUGCAGAAAUCCUUUGGAAAUAUUACGGAUUACUUUUUCCAUCUCAAGAUGAAAAUAAGACAGGUACAUCUAUAUGCAUGAGUUGUCAAUGUUAGCAACCCCUUGAAGAGCAGCAAGAAUUGUAGGUUGCAUCCUGGAGAUACAGUAGUGCCUGAUGAUGGUAUAUGGUGCCUUUGGGAGGAGCUCUUGGAUCUUAUAAAUGCUGUGGGGCCUUCAGGCUAUGCAUCUGCACUAGUACCUUGCUAAUAGGAAAUUUCCUUGUCCCACCCACGAAUUACAUUUUUCUUGAGAUUAUGAAAAUCAUAUGUAUUGGGAAUGAAUGUUGCUUCAAAUGGGAAAAUCAUUCUCUCAACUUUCUGGAACAGCAAAAGACAGUGGGAACAGUCGAGCAACCGUGUUGUGAAUGCAGUUAUGGAAGCGUGUGUGUGAGUGAAUAAAGCCAUCUCCGCAGCAGAAUGACUUCUGCUUCACCCCCAUGGGGGUAACACAUAGUUUUCUAUGUCCUUAGCAUCCCAUUUCCUGGGCUUUGCAGCAGUUAUUGAGUUGGAGCUAUUGGGAACAGAGGGAGAAUUUGGCCUUUGUUAGAGAUCUUUUGGCUUCGGGGUGUCAGUGUCUACAUUUGAUAGUUUUUUUAAAAAGCAAAGUAUCAGCAUCUAAAGGGUGACAGAUAUGAAGAUCUGCUUCUAAAAUUCCAACAUGUUACACUUUCCAGAAGGGAUAUUAUUGAGAAAUGGAUGAACACAGUCUCUUAUUAGUUCUCUUAGACCAUCUCACACCAUGCACAGAUGGAAUAAGUUCACAGGGAGGAUGUCUGUGGGAGGGAGCAGAGGGGUAAACAUUUAAAUGUGGUUUAUUCAUAAUUUUCUCUGAAUAGUUCUCAUGACAAUUGAAGAAUGAGUUCAAGGUGACCUGAAGUCAUAUAACUGAGUAGAACUAUACCGCAUAGUUAAUAGGAAUAAAAUAUUAGGGGAAAUUAUUCAAGAGUAUACGCACACAGACACACACACACACACACACACACACACACAAAUAAACCCACUGCUUGUAGUUUGCAAAUGAUCUGACACUCUGUCUGCUAGGAUAUCUGAGUAGAAUCAGCCUUGGACUUGGUUGUCAUAUGGCAGAAACACAUAAACACACUCUCUUUCCUCUCUGGUGUGUCUGUGUUAAUACCUUGGGGAUCUUUGAGAAUAUCUGAUUAACCUCUGUAUCUAAAUGUUGUUUAUAAAUAAAACAUAUCCAGCUUUGAAAUA